UACGGGGGGGGCAAGCGUUGUUCGGAAUUACUGGGCGUAAAGGGCUCGUGGGCGGCCAACUAAGUCAGACGUGAAAUCCCUAGGCUCAACCUAGGAACUGCGUCUGAUACUGGAUGGCUUGAAUCCGGGAGAGGGAUGCAGAAUUCCAGGUGUAGCGGUGAAAUGCGUAGAUAUCUGGAGGAAUACCGGUGGCGAAGGCGGCAUCCUGGACCGGCAUUGACGCUGAGGAGCGAAAGCCAGGGGAGCAAACGGG
rnacentral:rRNA from 1 species